UACGGGAGGCAGCAGUGGGGAAUUUUCCGCAAUGGGCGAAAGCCUGACGGAGCAACGCCGCGUGAGGGAUGAAGGCCUCUGGGCUGUAAACCUCUUUUAUCAAGGAAGAAGAUCUGACGGUACUUGAUGAAUAAGCCACGGCUAAUUCCGUGCCAGCAGCCGCGGUAAUAC
rnacentral:rRNA from 1 species